GCAAGGCAAAAGAAAAAAAACAUGAAUCCUUUUCUGGAGCCCCGCGAUCAGAAACAAAACCUUAGAAACUCGAGAAUUAACCGCUAAAAUGUAUGUUCGAGUUUUCCAGUCCCUGAAUUAUACAUUCUAAAAACUGUAACAUAACAUGUUGGAAGGAUAUGCAGUUAAUUAGUUUUCUUGUCAUCUUCUUUUAUGGCAUUCUCAUUUGUUGCCUCAGCUCCUUGAUUUUCUUCACCACCGAAACCGAAUUCAUUUAUACGUUUCUUGUCAACGGGAUAAAUCCAUCUCUGAUAUAGAAUGAUAAGAAAUAUGACAUCAUCCCGAAACACCGAAAGUCGGUGUAGGGUUGGCAUUUUGAUGACAAAAGCAAACAAGUCGUCAAUGAUAGUAUUAAGGAACUUGUAUGUCAUCUGUCUCCAGGGUAGAUGAGCCACAGACUUGAGCUUGUAAUUUAUGAACAACUGUGGACACAUCAUA
rnacentral:misc_RNA from 1 species